rnacentral:rRNA from 1 species
GAUAUUCAGACUAGCCAUGCACGUCUAAGUACAAACUAAAUGAUGGUGAAACUGCAAAUGGCUCAUUACAACGGUUAUGAUGUACCCGGGAGUUCCGAUGGAUAUUUCCAGUAACACUAGAACUAAUACAUGUCCCUGCGUUUAUUAGUUUCGCACAGUCCGUCGCUGAGUCAUGGUAAACAGUUGAUCGACUCGACGUCCCGGAACAGUUUCCGCCCCAUCAGCUUCGAUGGUUGGGUAUUGGCCUACCAUUGCAACAACGGGUAACGAGGAAUUAGGGUUUGAUUUCGGAGAGGGAGCCUGAGAAACGGCUACCACAUCUACGGAUGGCAGCAGGCGCGCAAAUUACCCAAUGCAGACACUGUGAGGUAGUGACGAGAAAUAAUAAAGCGGGACUUCUGUUUCGCUAUUAUAAUGAGGAAUAACCAAAGGUCAUUCCGAUUAGCAACUGAUGGGAAAGUCUGGUGCCAGCAGCCGCGGUAAUACCAGCGUCAGUAGCA